rnacentral:rRNA from 1 species
GACGAACGCUGGCGGCGUGCUUAACACAUGCAAGUCGAACGCUGAAACUCCAGCUUGCUGGGGUGGAGGAGUGGCGAACGGGUGAGUAACACGUGAGUAACCUGCCCCUGACUCUGGGAUAAGCGCUAGAAAUGGCGUCUAAUACUGGAUACGACCUAUCACCGCAUGGUGUGUGGGUGGAAAGAUUUAUCGGUUGGGGAUGGACUCGCGGCCUAUCAGCUUGUUGGUGAGGUAAUGGCUCACCAAGGCGACGACGGGUAGCCGGCCUGAGAGGGUGACCGGCCACACUGGGACUGAGACACGGCCCAGACUCCUACGGGAGGCAGCAGUGGGGAAUAUUGCACAAUGGGCGCAAGCCUGAUGCAGCAACGCCGCGUGAGGGAUGACGGCCUUCGGGUUGUAAACCUCUUUUAGUAGGGAAGAAGCGAAAGUGACGGUACCUGCAGAAAAAGCACCGGCUAACUACGUGCCAGCCGCCGCAGUAA